rnacentral:rRNA from 1 species
UACGUAGGGAGCAAGCGUUGUCCGGAAUCAUUGGGCGUAAAGAGCUCGUAGGCGGCUUGGUAAGUCGGAUGUGAAUCCUCCAGGCUCAACCUGGAGUCGCCAUCCGAUACUGCCAUAGCUAGAGUCCGGUAGGGGCCCACGGAACUCCUGGUGUAGCGGUGAAAUGCGCAGAUAUCAGGAAGAACACCGGUGGCGAAGGCGGUGGGCUGGGCCGGCACUGACGCUGAGGAGCGAAAGCGUGGGGAGCGAACAGG